CUCCUUCAACUUCACGUGGAAAAGGAAAAAAAAACCCUCUAACCCACACCAAACAAGAAAAAUCACGUAUUGCUGUUUCACGUGAAAUUUCUCAAACCUCCUCCUUGCUUCAGCUUCCCGGAACCUCUGCGCCGUCACCUUCGGCCGCCUAACCACCGUCGGCGUUCCUCCCUUCUCCGUCGUUCCGCCGCGACCACCACCUCACGGCCUCCCUUGCCGCACCGCGCCGCCCAACUGUUGCAGCCUCCCUAUUCUUCCUGUCACGCACGCAGUCGCAGCCCCUUGCUUGCACAACCACCUCGGCGUGACUACCUUCAACCACCACCAUCAGCAAGCGUCGCCCAACCUCGGCGACCACCUGCACCGUCGUCGCGCAGCCCGCCGUCGGCCAGCUUCCCUCCUCUCUCCUUUGGCGGAGAAUUCUUUGUAGGCGACUUUUGAAUUAUUAAAGUGGUCUUGCAGUUUGUUUACACAAGUCUCUAAGGAUCAAUAAGCGUUGCCCAUCUACAGGUUUGAAGAUGAUGCAUCAUUGGGAUCGGGAUUAGAGAGCUUGUAGUUCUAUUCGUUUAAUUAAGUGAUUUAAUUUGUUAACUUGGAUUUGAAAUUUGUCGUACUAUUCGUAUUUCCUUAUUUCAUUUAAUUGGUUUUGGACCUAAUAUGUAAUAAGAUUACUUAUGAACCUAAAAGUUAGUUUUAUGUUUUCCGCUGCAAAAUUCUGAAUAAGCCGUAC